GAUGAACGCUGGCGGCGUGCCUAAUACAUGCAAGUCGAGCGAACAGACGAGGAGCUUGCUCCUCUGACGUUAGCGGCGGACGGGUGAGUAACACGUGGAUAACCUACCUAUAAGACUGGGAUAACUUCGGGAAACCGGAGCUAAUACCGGAUAAUAUAUUGAACCGCAUGGUUCAAUAGUGAAAGACGGUUUUGCUGUCACUUAUAGAUGGAUCCGCGCCGCAUUAGCUAGUUGGUAAGGUAACGGCUUACCAAGGCAACGAUGCGUAGCCGACCUGAGAGGGUGAUCGGCCACACUGGAACUGAGACACGGCCAAGACUCCUACGGGAGGCAGCAGUAGGGAAUCUUCCGCAAGGGGCGAAAGCUUGACGGAGCAACGCCGCGUGAGUGAUGAAGGUCUUCGGAUCGUAAAACUCUGUUAUUAGGGAAGAACAAAUGUGUAAGUAACUAUGCACGUCUUGACGGUACCUAAUCAGAAAGCCACGGCUAACUACGUG
rnacentral:rRNA from 1 species